CGGGGGGCAGCAGUAAGGAAUAUUGGUCAAUGGGCGCAAGCCUGAACCAGCCAUGCCGCGUGCAGGAAGACGGCCCUACGGGUUGUAAACUGCUUUUAUUCGUGAAUAAAUCACCUUACGUGUAAGGUGUUGAAAGUAGCGAAAGAAUAAGGAUCGGCUAACUCCGUGCCAGCAGCCGCGGUAAUACGGAGGAUCCAAGCGUUAUCCGGAUUUAUUGGGUUUAAAGGGUGCGUAGGCGGAUUAUUAAGUCAGAGGUGAAAUUUUGCGGCUCAACCGUAAGCUUGCCUUUGAUACUGAUAAUCUUGAAUUAACUUGAGGUAGGCGGAAUGUGACAAGUAGCGGUGAAAUGCAUAGAUAUGUCACAGAACACCAAUUGCGAAGGCAGCUUACUAAGGUUAUAUUGACGCUGAGGCACGAAAGCGUGGGGAUCAAACAGGAUUAGAUACCCCAGU
rnacentral:rRNA from 1 species